rnacentral:tRNA from 2 species
GGCCCCUUCGUCUAGCGGUUAGGAUCCAUGGUUUUCAUCCAUGUUACAGGAGUUCAAUUCUCCUAGGGGUCACCA